GGCCAUAUCACAUUGAAACACCUGUUCUCGUAUGAUCAGCGAAGUUAAGCAACGUCGAGCUUGGUCAGUACUUAGAUAAGUAACCGCUUGGGAAUACCAGGUACUGUAA